AGUGAACGCUGGCGGUAGGCCUAACACAUGCAAGUCGAACGGCAGCACAGUAAGAGCUUGCUCUUACGGGUGGCGAGUGGCGGACGGGUGAGGAAUACAUCGGCAUCUACUUUUUCGUGGGGGAUAACGUAGGGAAACUUACGCUAAUACCGCAUACGACCUACGGGUGAAAGCAGGGGAUCUUCGGACCUUUCGCGAUUGAAUGAGCCGAUGCCGGAUUAGCUAGUUGGCGGGGUAAAGGCCCACCAAGGCGACGAUCCGUAGCUGGUCUGAGAGGAUGAUCAGCCACACUGGAACUGAGACACGGUCCAGACUCCUACGGGAGGCAGCAGUGGGGAAUAUUGGACAAUGGGCGAAAGCCUGAUCCAGCCAUACCGCGUGGGUGAAGAAGGCCUUCGGGUUGUAAAGCCCUUUUAUUGGGAAAGAAAAGCAGCAGGUUAAUCCCCCGCUGUUCUGACGGUACCCAAAGAAUAAGCACCGGCUAACUUCGUG
rnacentral:rRNA from 1 species